AAGUAAAUAGUCCCGUAUGAAAUUCAUAAAAUAUUUAUAUUUGGCACUUGAGGAGGUCAAUCGCAUAAAUAGUUGUGAGUUCAUGUUCUCAUCAUUGAUAAAAUCAAGUCCACCUCUAUAGGAUAGAAGUUGUGUGAUGACGUGUUUAGAUCAUCAAAAUGGAGUAGAAGAGGGAAUUAACUAACGGUGGUAGAGACUUUACUAAUAAGGCCCAAUUUCUCGGAAACGCAAACGUGUCGCCGCAUAUGUCCAAGGUGGACGAGUAGGUAUAUAUUGAUGGUGGGGGUUGAUUAUUUUUUUUCCCCACACCUUUGUGUAAAAUAGAGAAUAGUAAAUGCUAAUUAUGAGAUUAACAUUGAAUUUUCCAGUCGAAUUUGGUAAAAAGAUUACUACUUUAUUUACUUUGAAACGUGAACGUUUCGCCACAUAUAUCCAAGGUGGACGAUUAGCCGUUAAUUCAUUAUUGAAU
rnacentral:lncRNA from 1 species